GAGCCAUUAGCUCAGCCGGUAGAGCAUCUGACUUUUAAUCAGAGGGUCGGAGGUUCGAAUCCUCCAUGGCUCA
rnacentral:tRNA from 2 species